GCAGCAGCCGCGGUAAUACCGAGGGUGCGAGCGUUAAUCGGAUUUACUGGGCGUAAAGCGUGCGUAGGCGGCUUCUUAAGUCGGAUGUGAAAUCCCUGAGCUUAACUUAGGAAUUGCAUUCGAUACUGGGAAGCUAGAGUAUGGGAGAGGAUGGUAGAAUUCCAGGUGUAGCGGUGAAAUGCGUAGAGAUCUGGAGGAAUACCGAUGGCGAAGGCAGCCAUCUGGCCUAAUACUGACGCUGAGGUACGAAAGCAUGGGGAGCAAACAGGAUUAGAUACCCCCGUAGUCCCUGUCUCUUAUAC
rnacentral:rRNA from 1 species